UACGUAGGGGGCAAGCGUUGUCCGGAUUUAUUGGGCGUAAAGAGCGUGUAGGCGGUUCGGUAGGUCCGUUGUGAAAACUCGAGGCUCAACCUCGAGACGCCGAUGGAAACCCUCGAACUAGAGUCCGGAAGAGGAGAAUGGAAUUCCUGGUGUAGCGGUGAAAUGCGCAGAUAUUAGGAAGAACACCAGUGGCGAAGGCGGCUUACUGGUCCGGAACUGACGCUGAGGUGCGAAAGCGUGGGGAGCAAACAGG
rnacentral:rRNA from 1 species